GGUGUUGGGAUAUGUGGAGCUUUGACAAGAGUUGGAGAUUUGUUUUUGGUGGUGUUAUUGAGUUUGAGGUUGGGUGUUGUGUGGUUGCUGAGUAAUUUUGAGUGUAUGCAUGUUUGAGAUUAUUUUCUUUGAGGUGAGAUUUCGGUAGAGGUUGGAUUUAUUCUUUUUGAAGUUUGGUUUUUGUUUACAUGUGGAUGAGUUGUGUAAGUUGGUGAAGGUGUUUGUUUUGGGGAUGGUGUUGGUAACCUUGUGAGGUUGGUUUUUUGUUGACUUUGUGGCGGGUAUUAUUUCGGGGACGAAAUAUUCCAAGUGGGGGAGAGUUGUAACACCCGUCCCAGGAUAUUUAGGGUUUCGAUUUAAUUUUGAGGUUUGGGGUUUAAUUUGUAUUUGUUGGAUUCUAUGAGGGGCUUUGGUGUGAUUUACAUGGAGAAUUGUUAUUGGUUUGGAGUAUAAGUUGAGAGGAGAGGUGACCACAUGGGAUUUCUUCCUAAGUGACUAAAUAGUCAUCAGGAGGAUAUUUCCUCAUUCUGCCGACAGAGAGAGAGAGAGAGAGGGGGAGAGAAAGGGAGGAGGAGGUCUCGGCUAAGGGGAGGGAGGAAGGAGAGGUCCGUUUUCGACGAUCCAACUCGGUGACAAGUAACGAGCCGGUCUUUUAGGAGGUGCCGAAACCGUAAGUUUGGCAUACUCCAGUCGAAUGAAAGGUGAGUGUGUCUGAUAUGGUUCUUCUCAAUAAGAUAUUGCCAUGGUGGUAUGUAUGUAUCUUGCUAAUGGUGUUUUAGCUUUCAAUAUGAUUAUUGAUAUGUAAAUAAUGCAGUGGAGGUGAUUAUAUAUCAAUGAUAUCAUGCUAAUCGAGGUUUAGCUAUUGAUAUGGAUAUAUGUGGUGGAAAUUUGUAUACCAUGCUAUAUGUUGUUUUAGCUAAUGGUAUGCAUGCUUGUUGUAUGUUGAUUGUACCCGCGAAAGGAUUGUGGAGUGAGUCACACCAUAUCGUGGGCCGUGCCGUCUAAUUAACGGUGAAUGGGAGUGUGGUGUGCGGGACACAAUUCCUUGGGUACAUGGGAUGUGGCAGACGUGCCACUGUAUGUUGGUGUUUAUACAUGUGGUUAUACGAUUGAGUACUUAUGUUGAGUUUCGUGUGAUUUACAUUCAUGCCGUUAUUGUUAUGUGGUUGUUUAUUGAAUAAUAUUGCUAUGUUUGGCAGAUGUGAUGGUUAUAACUAAUGUACUCAUAUGGGUAUUGCAGUUAUGUUGGUGGUGAAUAUUCUUAUUGAUAUUCUUUUGGGUAUUGUGACAUUUUAUUGAGCAUUUCUAUAUCUCACACACUCUGGCUUUCCUUUUUGGACUGCCAGGUAGCAGGUGGCUUAGAGUGGGUCCACUACUGGUCAACGCUUUGGAGAGUGCUGAGACUAGUCUCGGGUGAUGUCGUUGGUUAGAUUGUUGUGUAGCUGAUUCGUCUAGAAGUUAACCUAAAUGUUUGUAAUUAAUUGGAGCGAGGGAUAUUUAUUAUAACUUGUGAGUUGAGGUUUUUGGGCGUUGAAUUGGUUGUAUUUUAAGUAAGAAGUCUUCCGCUAA